rnacentral:rRNA from 1 species
GACAGAGGGUGCAAACGUUGUUCGGAAUUAUUGGGCGUAAAGCGCGCGCAGGCGGUUUCUUAAGUCUGAUGUGAAAGCCCACGGCUCAACCGUGGAGGGUCAUUGGAAACUGGGGAACUUGAGUGCAGAAGAGAAAAGCGGAAUUCCACGUGUAGCGGUGAAAUGCGUAGAGAUGUGGAGGAACACCAGUGGCGAAGGCGGCUUUUUGGUCUGUAACUGACGCUGAGGCGCGAAAGCGUGGGGAGCAAACAGG